rnacentral:lncRNA from 1 species
CACUCAGAAUAGCCUGGCUGCUUCUCUGUCUCCGAGACCGGAGGGAGUGGGAACCAACAGCUGGGCUGGAGAGUUGGUGCUGGCAAAACAGUCCUUCCCCUGGGGCCGGUUCUUACCCAGGUCCAGAGAAACCAACGCGGGAUGUCAGACUUCACCAAAAGGACUUUCUGGUUGCCCCUGGCUGGCUUCCUGGAGGCGUUCGCCUCUAGUUUCUCAGGGAUGGAGCGAGAGCCCAGCCAGAGAACAGUAAGAGGAGCUGCUCUCCUAUCUGCACUCACCCAGGCCUUCACCCAGACUUUACCACUGAGGCGGCUGAGUGCAGCUACAGCUAGGUCCGCGUCCCUCACUCUUUUCAUCUUCUGCACGUUCUUCGUGAAACUGGAAGGAUCCCAGGUCUCAGCCAGAACACGGUGGAAGAGAACUUUCCUAGGAAACGGUUCAUGUGUCACUUUUCAGGAUGUGGAAACACUGUGAGCCAUACACCCUCCAUUGCUUGGUGCUGGGGUUGUGUGGCCUCCACUGGGCACUUGCCGACCUGAGUCUGGGGCCAGGGGAGCCCAGGCUGCCCUGCACUCCUGCCUCCCAGCCCACAACCAGGUGCUUUCAUCACAGCUAAACCUGGUUCCCUCCAAACCUCCCAGCCACUCGGGCUUGUAACUGUCCGAGCCCCGGAUCCAGUGGGGUGAAAGCAGCCAGCUGCUCAUCUCAGUGACUCACAGGACACAGCCAUCCAGUGGCAUCUUUCCUUGUUGAAUGAUACUGUAAUGACCUUCCGAAGUGAAAAGUAGCACAUUAAAGUGAUUUUAUUGUUUCCUGUUUCUCAUUCUGAUUUCUUUUUCCUCCUAUGUUCCCAGAUUCUGGAACGGAACCCCAGCCCUUCCAGGUCUGAGAGCCACUCUUUCUUUGCUCUGGAUUUCUGUCACGUCAGGGUCCCCUCCCUCUGCGGAGUUGUAUGUUGCUGUUCCUGAUGCAUAGACUCCUCCCCCGCUGCUUUUCUGCCCACUGGGUCAGGAUCUGCCAUUCUUUACAAGUUUCCUUAACGUAUUGCGUCAAAGCGAGACAACUAAGUCUUACUCAAACUUGUUUUAACCGGAGAUGGAGCGUCGCUGCUGUGUCACCGCCUGCACAGGGCUGCCCUCAGGCCAGCUUCCUGGGGCUUACUCCGAGGGCAUCGCCUUGCCCCGCACUGUGGUGGGAUGUAAAGUGAUAACAGCUAAACGACGCCUGCACAACGUGUGCUGGUGCCUUCUGCGUGACCCCGGAGCAGCAGGUUCUGCACGUGGCAGGAGAUACUUGAAAGGGACCAUGCCCGGCUGAAGCCCCGUCUCGUGUGGAAGAAUGUCAUCUCCAGUGUCUGCUGCCUCCUCCCCGCAAAGUCUCCCACAAGCACAGGACAAGGGGUGCUUCCACCAUCUCCUAGGAGCUGAUGACAUGUCCAGACCAGGUCUCAUGCUUGGUGCCUGGUGCCAGGUGAGUGAUGACGACCUCCACGGCCUGCAGCUUCUCAUUCUUGGGCGGGAUGGAGCACAUUUUAUAGGUGACCUCGUCGCCUUCCACUGGGACAUACUCCCCUUCCACGCUACGGGGGCAUAAAUAAAGCAGUCAGGGCUCACACUGGGACAUGGCUCCCUUCCCCAAGACACCAGCCACCACAGCAGGCACCAUCUGACCAACCACCGGGAACCUCUUUCCAAAGAACUGCCCCUCCACCAGAGGGAGCUGCCACACUGCCCCCAGCCUCUGUCCCAGCCAAGGAGGCCCUGGCCCAAUCAGCUCCUUCCCUGGGACUUUUGAUGCUGGAACUGAAAGAGCUCAGCCACCUGUGGGUGCUCACAUGGUGACAUGAAAUGUGGGAGGGAGCCUGGGCUUGUGAAGGAAGAGUAAAGACAGCCAGUCCAAGCCAGAGAGAAACAAGGCCAUCAUGGAGUGAGAAUCCGAGUUGAGGGGUGGCCUGGGCAGGGCUUUCCUGAGGUCCUCAGCACGGCAGCCCCUGGUUCCAGGAGUCUCAGAAACCACACCAUGUCUUUGUUCUCAAAUUCCCCAGUUUCCCAGCCUGCCUUUUUUUGAGACAGUCUUGUUCUGUUGCCCAGGCUGGAGUGCAGUGGUGUGAUCUCAGCUUACUGCAUCCACCUCCCGAGUUCAAGUGAUUCUCCUGCCUCAGCCAAGUAUCUGGGACUAUAGGCACCACAGCCAGCUAAUUUUUGUAUUUUUAGCAAAGUCGGGGUUUCACCAUGUUAGCCAGGCUGGUCUCAAACUCCUGACCUUAAGUGAGCCACCUGCCUCAGCCUCCGAAAGUGCUGGGAUUACAAGCAUGAGCCACCACGCCUGGACUCCCAGAGAGCCUUCAAGAAGGUCCCUUUGGUGCUUGAAGCUAGUUCCUG